rnacentral:misc_RNA from 1 species
CCUUGGCCUUGGGCCGAGGGCGCGAGGGCGCGAUAAAGAAUCGGAACGAGACCCCCCUUCCUCGAUGCUGGCUUCGGUUUUACGCUUUGGUGCGCCCAGGCCAAAGCAAUGCCGCAAGAAUGCACACCCACGGGCCCCCGCCAGUGUUGCUUGUUGGCGCACGUGGUUUUGGCGGCCAUGCCUCGGAAUGCUUGCGGGCGCCGAUGCCAUGGUCGCCUCAACCACGGGCGCCACAACAUGCAAUGGCUUGCGCUCGUGUUGCUUGUAAGCGCUUGGUGCUCGGGCGCCCAUGCUUGCGGUCGCUUGUUUCUUGGGCGCCAGUGCUUGCGUGCGGGCGCCUUAGCAAUCAAGGGUGCGCGCUGGGUGGUGGCACGGGCGCCAAGUGGUGUUGGGGCGGCAUCGAGCUUGCCCCCGCGUGCGCUUGGUGCAUGUGUUGCCACCCUCGGCGCCCUUGGUGCGUUCUGCGCGCUUGGCGCUUGCUUAGUCGCUUGGGAAAAUUUUUUGUGACAGCUCAGACAUACCUUAUGUCUGAUGGCUGGACGGGUGCAAAUUCGUUAAGGACUACUAUAGGGGGGAGGCGGGUUGACCCCCCAGCGGUGGUUGGUGACAUGGGGAUAUUUGAGCCCGGGCCUCCACCGAGUAAACCCAGAGCUUUAAGGUGGAAUGGGCACCGCAACGAAGGGCUAAGGGCGUUCGAAAGCAAUUGAUCUCACUCGACGCUCUUACGCUCGAUUCUUUGUCGCUCAUUCCUCCCGCUUGCUCGCACAACGAUGGGUCGGGGUAUUCGUUUACCUCGGCGCCAUCGGUGUCCCGUCGGUUUUUAACAGUAUGGUUUCGGUGCCUUCUCGUCUCGCGGUGAUUGUGUCGUUGCUCCCUCGAUGUUUCCUCAUCCUCGACGAUGGUCUUCAUCGUUCGAAGGUGCGGUUCGUCCGGUGGCAACUUCGCAAAUCGAACGCAACAGACGUGUGAGUGGUGUUCGGAUGGCAUGGGUUUGCAGGCUUCUCGCUCGUGCGAGAAACUGCAUUCCCUCCACCCAUUCCAUAAUUUCCGCAAGCACGACGUUCGCCUUGCUUGCGCGAACGAUGUCUUGUGCUGUUUACCAAAGGUGUGGAAUCGGUCUUUUUGUUGCGGUUACCAUCCUCCCGGUUCCCCUUCGGGGUGCCGGGUGGAUUAAAAGCUUGCCCCGUGCUCCAGGCAUGCCUCGCUUCGAUGCGUUGCUGCCGUGGCGCACGGGACAACGCUCGAUCUCUCGGGUCCGGAUCGAAACGCGUGGGGGUUGGGGUAACGCUCCCCAUCCUUCCGUGCUAAGCAUUUGUCGGUAUAUUUAACACGAACGACUCGCGCGCUCGUCUUGCCUCUUCUGGGGCUGCAUGUCUCCCCAGGGUUCCAUGCGAGCGUGUCGRUGCCGUUUUCGGAAAUGC